ACGUACACUCCUGCGGGAGGCAGCAGUGGGGAAUAUUGGACAAUGGGCGCAAGCCUGAUCCAGCCAUGCCGCGUGAGUGAUGAAGGCCCUAGGGUUGUAAAGCUCUUUCACCGGAGAAGAUAAUGACGGUAUCCGGAGAAGAAGCCCCGGCUAACUUCGUGCCAGCAGCCGCGGUAAUACGAAGGGGGCUAGCGUUGUUCGGAAUUACUGGGCGUAAAGCGCACGUAGGCGGAUCGAUCAGUCAGGGGUGAAAUCCCAGGGCUCAACCCUGGAACUGCCUUUGAUACUGUCGAUCUGGAGUAUGGAAGAGGUGAGUGGAAUUCCGAGUGUAGAGGUGAAAUUCGUAGUUAUUCGGAGGAACACCAGUGGCGAAGGCGGCUCACUGGUCCAUUACUGACGCUGAGGUGCGAAAGCGUGGGGAGCAAACAGGAUUAGAUACCCGGGUAGUCCCAUGAU
rnacentral:rRNA from 1 species